GCCUCAGUGGCUUAGUGGUAUAGCGCGGCCUUGGUAAGGCCGAGGUCGAGGGUUCAAUUCCCUCCUGAGGCU
rnacentral:tRNA from 1 species